rnacentral:rRNA from 1 species
AUUGAACGCUGGCGGCAGGCCUAACACAUGCAAGUCGAACGAGUGGCGGACGGGUGAGUAAUGUCUGGGAAACUGCCUGAUGGAGGGGGAUAACUACUGGAAACGGUAGCUAAUACCGCAUACCAUCAGAUGUGCCCAGAUGGGAUUAGCGAGUUGGUGGGGGAAAGGCUCACCAAGGCGACGAUCCCUAGCUGGUUUGAGAGGAUGACCACCCAAAUUGGAACGGAGACACGGUCCAGACUCCUACGGUGCGCAGCAGUGGGGAAUAUUGCAAAAUGGGCGCAAGCCUGAUGCAGCCAUGCCGGGUGGAGUGAGGAGGGCUUCGGGUGUUAAAGUACUUUCAGCGGAGAGGCGUUACCCGCAGAAAAAGCACCGGCUAACUCCGUGCCAGCAGCCGCGGUAAUAC